rnacentral:misc_RNA from 1 species
UUUCCGUAGGUGAACCUGCGGAAGGAUCAUUAUUGUAUAACCGAGGUGCGAGGGCUGUCGCUGACCCGAAAGGUCGUGCACGCCCGAGUGCCCUCACACACAUCCAUCUCACCCCUAUGUGCACCACCGCGUGGGUCCCCCUUUGGCUUGUUCGGAGGGGGGCUUACGUUUUCACACAAACUUUGUAUGCAGUGUAGAAUGUAUUUUUUGUUUUUGCGAUCACGCAAUCAAUACAACUUUCAACAACGGAUCUCUCGGCUCUCGCAUCGAUGAAGAGCAGC